GGCUGGUCCAGUGGUAGUCAUCAGAACUUAUUCACAUUAGUGUCAUUCAAGUUGGUAUUCAACCCACUGCUAAAUUUGACUGGCUUUUA
rnacentral:Y_RNA from 1 species